rnacentral:rRNA from 1 species
AGUGAACGCUGGCGGUAGGCCUAACACAUGCCAGUCGAACGGCAGCACAGUAAGAGCUUGCUCUUACGGGUGGCGAGUGGCGGACGGGUGAGGAAUACAUCGGAAUCUACUUUUUCGUGGGGGAUAACGUAGGGAAACUUACGCUAAUCCCGCAUACGACCUACGGGUGAAAGCAGGGGAUCUUCGGACCUUGCGCGAUUGAAUGAGCCGAUGUCGGAUUAGCUAGUUGGCGGGGUAAAGGCCCACCAAGGCGACGAUCCGUAGCUGGUCUGAGAGGAUGAUCAGCCACACUGGAACUGAGACACGGUCCAGACUCCUACGGGAGGCAGCAGUGGGGAAUAUUGGACAAUGGGCGCAAGCCUGAUCCAGCCAUACCGCGUGGGUGAAGAAGGCCUUCGGGUUGUAAAGCCCUUUUGUUGGGAAAGAAAAGCAGCAGGUUAAUACCCCGCUGUUCUGACGGUACCCAAAGAAUAAGCACCGGCUAACUUCGUG